AUGAAAAGCUGCCUGCACAGCCGGAAGCUGUCCAGGAAGACCGUUGAAUCACUGAGCAACCAACCAAUUCGCCGACCAGACGCUCCAGAACUACGAACUUCAGAAAUAAAGCUGGUGGCUUCGUUUGAAGACUCUUGCAGCUCUAAUGCCAAACAACAGACCCUCAGAAGUUGCUUUUACCAAAGCCCAAAGUGGCUUUGGUUAAACUCCCCAUCAUGCAGUUUUCUCCUGUGCCUGUCUUUAUGCCUACAGCCGACUCCUCAGCCCAGCCUGUAGUGUUGGGUGUCGAUCAUCAGGGCUCUGCCCCCGGUGCCGUGCACUUACUGCCCUUGUCCAUUGGAACCUUGAUCCUCGGCCUGGAUUCGGAAGCCUGCUCUCUCAAGGAGAGCCUCCCUCUUUCAAAAGUUGUAAAUCCUGUUGCUGUUGAGCCGAUUAGCACAGGUAUUCAAGUGAACUUGGGUAAAAGUCCAUUUAGCCCGUUACAAGAACUCAGGAACACAUGUCAGAAGAACAGCAUGUCUUCCAUCAAUGUGCAGACAGACCUGUCCUGCACCACACCACAGUUCAUGCUUGUCUGCACAGUGGGCCAGCCCUGACUCCUCUUUGGCGUCCUGUUCGCAAACUGAUUUGACAUUUGGUUCCCAGGUUUCCCUUCCCAUUAGUGUUCAAACUCAGACUUUUUGCCCAGUUCUAAGGUAACCUCAUCCAUCACUGCUCAGACUGAUGCAUUUAUAGAUGCCAGUUUUCAGCCAGGUGGGAUCUCCAGAGAAACUCAGACCAGUGGAAUGCAAAGUCCAGCAGAUGACCCAGUACAGAUGGACCAAGCUGUAAUGUGUGGAGACAUUUUUGAAAGUGUCCAUUCAUCAUAUGGUAUGUCUACAGACAAUAUUAUAAGGAGCAGCUUAGAAGCAGAGACUGUAACUCAUGCAUGACUUGUUACCUCAGAACCACCCUAAAACUUUAACCCAAGAUAUUGAGAAAUCCACACCAGUAAUAAACUUCAGUGCACCAAAUAGUAUGCUUUCGUCACAGAACAGGACAGAUAAUCAGACCCAAACCAUGGAUUUACUAAGUGAUCUAGAAAACAUCUUGUCAAGUAACCUACCUGGUCAGACGCUGGACAAUCGUAGUCUUUUGUCUGACACAAACACUGGACCUGACACCCAGGUCCCAUCUGACCCAGAAUCCUGCAAUUGAUUUUGAUAUCAAAGAGUUCUUUUCAACCUCAAAUAUACAGACGCAAACCAAGGAGAGUGAGCUUAGCAUCAUGACCACUGAGCCAGUCUUGGAGUCGCUGGACAUAGAAACCCAAACUGACUUCUUCCUUGCAGACCCUUCUGCCCAGGCCUACAGUUGUAGGGGAAUUCUAGCUUCUUAGGCCUUGUGAUGUUUGACACAUACUCACAGACAGACCUGAACUUCUUUUUAUACAGUAGCCCUUGUCUGCCACUGGGAAGUAUCCUGAAACACUACAGCUUUUCCAUGAGUACUGAUUCAUCUGACACAGAGACCCAGACUGACGGAAUCUCCAUUAUUAAAAAAAAAAAAAAAAACCUGCCUGCCCUGGAAAGCAAAGUUCAGUUGAACAGUGCCAAAACACAGACCAUGAACUCUGGCUUCGAAACUUUGGGAAGCUUAUUCUUCACCAGCAAUGAAACUCAGACAGCAAUGGAUGACUUUCUUCUGGCCGAUCUGGCCUGGAACACGAUGGAAUCUCAGUUCAGCUCUGUUGAAACCCAAUCGUGUGCAGAACUACACCCAGUCUCCAGCUUCUGA
rnacentral:lncRNA from 1 species